GUAUAAUUUUAUGUCUUUUAAAUGUUUAGGCGGCAGCAAGUGCUCUUACCUGGAGCAACACUGCUAGAUAGUAGUGACCUGUGGAUAUCAAUUCUGUGGACAUUCUCUGAGUGCCCAGUGUAUGACAAAUGUCUCAGCUGUGAUAUACUCUAGAUGUCUCAGAUGUUGAGGGAACAAUCAAAGCCACCUCCAAUGUCUGUUCUAAGGGUGGAAACCCAUACUCGGUGUUGUGUUAGAAUCUUGGCUCAUCUCCAGACAGACCACACCAGGCUAAUACAGUCCCAGGUAGAAGAGGUUUAUUGGGGAUGAGGAAGACAAGAGGGGGUUGGGGAGAGAAGAGAGAAAAAGAGGACAGGGCAGAGAAGGUCUGCUUUUUAUUUAAACUAUGAUGUAACUGUUCCCAGGUGAAGGUGGGAGCUGAACCAAAUGUAUGCUGGGAAUGUAUGGCCGUUGCCAUGGCAGCGGAUGCACAGUUCCCUGUCCCCUGCAGGUGACAUCAUUGCUGGAGGCGAAAGUGGUUCCUGAUAAACAACAUUCGGUGUCUAGAUUCACAAACCUGCUUUCCUUGAGAUGUCUCAUUCAGGAAAGUCUGCAAAACAAGAACUAAUCUUAUCAGUGGUCUGGGGAAAUGAGCCUGCUGCAUAACUACAGGAACCUGAGUUUGAACCCUCGUCCCUGUGGCUAAACACCUGGAGGUGAAGUUCGGCAGGAUCCAAGAAGCAGAAGAGAUGGUCAUUCAAGAAAGAUGCUGAGAAGAGUUGACAGGGCACAGCACACUCGAAGGAGGCCUUUUCCUUCCAUUCAGCAUCUCAUUCAACUGUCAACAGUACCUGAAGGCUGAGACUUCUGACUUCGCCCAGAAGUAUAAUCUAAGUAUAUGCCAUAAAAAUAUUUAACAUUUAUCAAGGUACUUGGUACACCAGACAAAAUGUUG
rnacentral:lncRNA from 1 species